rnacentral:lncRNA from 1 species
GUUUGCUUGUGAUAAUUUAUGAUGCAACGCGAUCCAAUUACUAAAAUGACUGUUGGCUCCCCGUGACGUUUUCAAUUGGAUUAAAUGAACCUAGUCUUGGCGUAACGAUGAGUUUCAAAAGCACGUAACUAACGAGAAUGAAGUCUACUAGCUGUUUACAAGAUUUUGUCGAGGAGAAGGAAGUAAAACAGGAAAAUAUGGUACAGGUGACAACGCACCAAUGUAACUGUAUUCGGUAUUCUGGAAAGAGGAGAUAAACACUUUAUUCUUCAAAAACGAAGAAGGAAAUAAAUAACACUCCUAUUUCCGGACGUAGAAACGUUAAAAUUCUGCAUUAAUUCUUAAAUAUUAUUUAAUAACGAAAUGAAGUACUUAAGGCACGUCCUCCACGUUCUCUUGAUCUUCUUACCUUUUCUGAAUGGUUCUUUAAUCGAUUUGGAAGGUAACGGCUACAAAGGUAUUAUCGUUGCUAUAAAAAAUACAAUUAGUGAAGAUGCCCAGCUGAUUGAGAAUAUCAAGGUGAGUUUUUUUUGGAUAAAAAUUGCGUUUUUUGAAUUUUAACCGGGCCAUAAGCCAAAAUAUUCCAAUUUUCUCUAAAUGGAAUGUUUCGUGUAUAUUUACACAUAGCCUAUAUAAGUAAACUUUUAGAUAUUUUUUGGAAUAUUUUACUAUCAAUGAAAGAUUGUACGGAGAAAUCACACACAAAAAACGAAAGAUUCAGAGAUAAAACUCGGAAAUCCUGGUUACGUUAGUUGCGAAAUGAAAAUUUUCCAUUUUUAGAAAUGAUUCUGUCUUUUAAAACAUGGAAAUUUUCUUACAUUUUAAACGAAAGUUGCCAAAAAAUCCAAUAAAAUCCAUUCUAAUUUGAUAAAUACGCGCCCGGGU